rnacentral:rRNA from 1 species
AUUGAACGCUGGCGGCAGGCCUAACACAUGCAAGUCGGGCGGAGCGGCGGACGGGUGAGUAAUGUAUGGGGAUCUGCCUGAUGGAGGGGGAUAACUACUGGACACGGUAGCUAAUACCGCAUACUAUCAGAUGAGCCUAGGUCGGAUUAGCUAGUGGGGGGGGUAAAGGCCUACCAAGGCGACGAUCCGUAACUGGGCGUAGAGGAUGAUCAGUCACACUGGAACGCAGACACGGUCCAGACUCGUACGGGAGGAAGCAGUGGGGAAUAUUGGACAAGGGGCGAAAGCCUGAUCCAGCCAUGCCGCGUGGGUGAAGAAGGUCUUCGGAUUGUAAAGCACUUUAAGUUGGGAGGCGUUACCAACAGAAUAAGCACCGGCUAACUUCGUGCCAGCAGCCGCGGUAAUAC